rfam:Schistosoma curassoni strain Dakar, Senegal genome assembly, scaffold: SCTD_contig0000187
AUAAUGGUUUUUCUAAAAGCCAUAAAAAGAAAUGUAAACUUAUUG